rnacentral:lncRNA from 1 species
UUCACAUUUUUUUCUAUCUUUCAUUUUUUGUACUUUUUUUAAUAUAGUUUUAGUCCUUUAUUCUUUAUGUUUGGUCAUCAUUCUUUCACGUAUCAAUCCCAUCCGUAGCCUUAACGUAGGAACAAAGAAAGAAAAAACAAACGCUGAUAAUCACUUCAGAAAAUGCACUUUGCUAAAUAUGAUACAAAACACACCACAUGUACAGUUAAAACAAUAACAAAAAGCAACAAAAAAGCAACAAAAAGCAUGCACUCAUUGAUGAAAGCAAUCUCAUUCAUUUUUAUUGAAAGUUGUCUCGUUGGCAUCCA